ACACAUGCAAGUCGAGGGGCAGCAUCAUCAAAGCUUGCUUUGAUGGAUGGCGACCGGCGCACGGGUGAGUAACACGUAUCCAACCUGCCGACAACACUGGGAUAGCCUUUCGAAAGAAAGAUUAAUACCGGAUGGUAUAGUUUUCCCGCAUGGGAUGAUUAUUAAAGAAUUUCGGUUGUCGAUGGGGAUGCGUUCCAUUAGGCAGUUGGCGGGGUAACGGCCCACCAAACCUACGAUGGAUAGGGGUUCUGAGAGGAAGGUCCCCCACAUUGGAACUGAGACACGGUCCAAACCCCUACGGGAGGCAGCAGUGAGGAAUAUUGGUCAAUGGACGAGAGUCUGAACCAGCCAAGUAGCGUGAAGGAUGACUGCCCUAUGGGUUGUAAACUUCUUUUAUACGGGAAUAAAGUGAGCCACGUGUGGCUUUUUGUAUGUACCGUAUGAAUAAGGAUCGGCUAACUCCGUGCCAGCAGCCGCGGUAAUACGGAGGAUCCGAGCGUUAUCCGGAUUUAUUGGGUUUAAAGGGAGCGUAGGCGGGUUGUUAAGUCAGUUGUGAAAGUUUGCGGCUCAACCGUAAAAUUGCAGUUGAUACUGGCGACCUUGAGUGCAACAGAGGUAGGCGGAAUUCGUGGUGUAGCGGUGAAAUGCUUAGAUAUCACGAAGAACUCCGAUUGCGAAGGCAGCUUACUGGAUUGUAACUGACGCUGAUGCUCGAAAGUGUGGGUAUCAAACAGGAUUAGAUACCCUGGUAGUCCACACAGUAAACGAUGAAUACUCGCUGUUGGCGAUAUACAGUCAGCGGCCAAGCGAAAGCAUUAAGUAUUCCACCUGGGGAGUACGCCGGCA
rnacentral:rRNA from 1 species